AAUUUUUUAAUAAUUGCGCCGAGGAUUUGAAUGCUUGCAUUAAAAACGAUCGUUUUAAGACAGUAGUAUCUUUUCAAUUAUCUGAGACGGUCCCUCUAAUAAUACUUCUCUCUUUAAUACACAGCUCAGGCUUUUCCAUUCCACCUGAUUUUGUUGUGGCUUUUGGACUUGGGCGCUUGGUUCGCAGAGUUAGGCUGCCUUUGGAUGCUGUUACUGUUGCCUUCACAGCUCGUUGUGUACCGGCUUUGACACUCGUGAAACUUAGCAAUAUUUUUACCGGUUCUGAAAGUAAUAAAUUUGACACUCAAAAGAAGGAAACUUUUUUGUCGUAUUGUUUUCAUUCAGCCCGGCGUACUUUUAUAAGUGCAGUAGACAGAUAUGGCCUUGCUUUUAUUAUAGGGAGACGUGUUAAUGGGGUUUUAACUGUCUUUCUCCUCUACUACUGCCUUAGAACUGGGCAAGCGCUAUUAUUAUAGUUUUUUUAACGCGUAUCAAGUUAUUUUGU